rnacentral:ncRNA from 1 species
UAAGUAUCAGGGAUCAGAGGAGGAACAAGCCUCCCAGAC